rnacentral:rRNA from 1 species
UACGUAGGGUGCAAGCGUUAAUCGGAAUUACUGGGCGUAAAGCGUGCGCAGGCGGCUUUGCAAGACAAAUGUGAAAUCCCCGGGCUCAACCUGGGAACUGCAUUUGUGACUGCAUGGCUGGAGUGCGGCAGAGGGGGAUGGAAUUCCGCGUGUAGCAGUGAAAUGCGUAGAUAUGCGGAGGAACACCGGUGGCGAAGGCGGCUACCUGGACCGGUUCUGACGCUGAUGCCGCGAAAGCGUGGGGAGCAAACAGGGAUUG